rnacentral:tRNA from 1 species
GCCUGGGUGGCUCAGUCGGUUAAGCGUCCGACUUCGGCUCAGGUCAUGAUCUCGCAGUUUGUGGGUUCGAGCCCCGCAUCAGGCU